GUUCAGACAUCUUAGGGAAUCAUUUCCCAAGCCCUUUAGCAAAGACUAUAUGUAAAUCAAUAAUCAGCUGGAGUAUUUACUUAUUAAAGCAGUUGGUUUUCAGCUUUCUUUUUAUUUAUUUACUUUUUUAGACAGGGAAGUUUUUUUUAAGUCUUGGACAAAGCAGAAGAAAGGGGAGUUCUCUGAGGCGAAAGUGGGCUGUGGGACCGUGCAUGCUCAGAUGUCCUUUUCUAUCUUAUCCCUCUUUCAGGGCCGGCGCUGGCCCCCCAAGCACCUCUGCAGAGACCCGGGAUGCCAGGGAGGCCCAUUUACAAGCCAGCAAUUCCAAAGGUAUUAGCCCAGAGUCACGAGGAACCCCGGAACACAUCCAGCAGAUGAACCCCUUGGAGAUCAGCAGAGAGGAGGCUAAGGCUAAGUGUCGGCUGGACCCUUCUUCUCAUACUCUCCUGGUUCCAUGUUCUCCUCGCUUCCUUCAAUAGUCCACGAAGACCUUCCUCCCCCGUUGGUCCAAACAAACCCACAUCGGAUCGACCAUUUUCUAGUGUCUGAGCUGACGUGCUAAGUGCAGAAGCUUUUCAACGUCCAGUAUUCGAAGUAUGGAGACUUUCUGUCUUGCUUACAAUUCAGCGAUUCUAUUUCUGCUGCCCUGUUGUUUUGGUGCCUAUGUGUGAUCGCAUGGAACUGUGAAACGUUAAAAACUCAAGAGGAGCUCGUUUUUCCUGAAAUAUAAAGACUCCGAGAUCCUGCUUCUUGCAAAAGUGUCUUUGAAGGCCUCCUACCACGCGCCGGUGCUCAGCCCUGCAGAGGUGGGGCAGGGCGAGAGGGUGGGGCCUCCUUGAUGAUGGGCAGGCUAGGGGACAUCCUCCAGGCUGUCGGUUGCCAAAAGGAUUCUGACGACUCGAAGCCCUUUCCCCUGUGGUCACUUUAGGUCUCCCGCUAUCGAAUGCCCCUCUGGUUUCUGGCAACUGUCCUCUGACCACAAAG
rnacentral:lncRNA from 1 species